rnacentral:rRNA from 1 species
UACGUAGGGUGCGAGCGUUAAUCGGAAUUACUGGGCGUAAAGCGUGCGCAGGCGGUUGUGCAAGACCGAUGUGAAAUCCCCGGGCUCAACCUGGGAACUGCAUUUGUGACUGCAUAGCUAGAGUACGGUAGAGGGGGAUGGAAUUCCGCGUGUAGCAGUGAAAUGCGUAGAUAUGCGGAGGAACACCGAUGGCGAAGGCAAUCCCCCUGGACCUGUACUGACGCUCAUGCACGAAAGCGUGGGGAGCAAACAGG